rnacentral:rRNA from 1 species
AGUGAACGCUGGCGGUAGGCCUAACACAUGCAAGUCGAACGGCAGCACAGUAAGAGCUUGCUCUUACGGGUGGCGAGUGGCGGACGGGUGAGGAAUACAUCGGAAUCUACUUUUUCGUGGGGGAUAACGUAGGGAAACUUACGCUAAUACCGCAUACGACCUACGGGUGAAAGCAGGGGAUCUUCGGACCUUGCGCGAUUGAAUGAGCCGAUGUCGGAUUAGCUAGUUGGCGGGGUAAAGGCCCACCAAGGCGACGAUCCGUAGCUGGUCUGAGAGGAUGAUCAGCCACACUGGAACUGAGACACGGUCCAGACUCCUACGGGAGGCAGCAGUGGGGAAUAUUGGACAAUGGGCGCAAGCCUGAUCCAGCCAUACCGCGUGGGUGAAGAAGGCCUUCGGGUUGUAAAACCCUUUUGUUGGGAAAGAAAAACCGCAGGUUAAUACCCCGCUGUUCUGACGGUACCCAAAGAAUAAGCACCGGCUAACUUCGUG